GGGGCUGUAGCUCAGUGGUAGAGCGUCUGCUUUGCAUGCAGAAGGCCUCGAGUUCGAUCCUCGACUGCUCCA